UUUUUCUACCGUCAGAGGGCGCUGUUUCGACGUGAAAAUACAUAUUCGGUGUUGGAAUAUAUUUGGAUGCAGGGGUGUAAGAGUUGCAGAGAUGUAAAGGAGUCAUGCAUAUAAGGGAUCCAGAGUAGUAAAGGAUGCAGUGAUGUUAAGGGUUGCUGCGACGUAAGGAGUGCAGAAAUGUAAGGGAUGCAGGAAUAUAAGUGAUACAUGGAUGUAAGGGGUGCGAGGAUGUAAGGCAUGUAGGGAUGUAAAGGAUGCUGAAAUGUAAGGGGUGUAGAAAUAUAUGGAUGAGCCCCGUAAGGCCCUCAAGAAGAAAAAGUAUAAUAAAUAACUGGGAAGGAUGAGCCGAGGCCUAUGGAGAGACGUAAGGUAGAUCCGCCCCCGUCGGCGGUCGCUGUAAGACUGGCAAUGGGAAGGUUUAAAAAGCAGAAGGCGUUCGUUUUCGAGGCAUGAAUUCAAGACCGCAAAGGCAUGUUCAGUUUCGUUGAAUCUGUAGUCACUACCUCACUGCAGCAGGAAAUCAAAGAAAGAGUAACUUGGGUAUCACUCUUCAGGAAAUGAAUUCAAAUGUGUUUAGUAUUCGAUAAAAAGUACAGCUUGUGAAAUGUAUAUAAAUGCUUUAUUGUUACAAAUAAAUAGUUACAGUACAAUAUAUAAAUGUUGUUGCUUUAAUUUCAAUCGAUUUUAAACAUAUUCACAAUCCAAAACAAAAGGGUUAAAAGAAGAGAUAAAUAUGUUCCAUAAACAAAUUUUAUUCUUCAUCUCCACAUGUAGUAUGUUUAAGUAUUUAUUUAUAUGACAUUAUGGAAAUGUAUUAGAGUGUAUUAAAACAAUUAAAAAAAAAAAAAAUU